AAAUAGUCAAAAAAUAACAUAAGGACCUAUGAGCUACAGUUCCACAGCUAAAAAUGACUCAGACAUUAACAGCUAUAGUCACCAUACAGCCGUCAACAAUGAACGCCCAUACGGCAUAGUCAGCUAUAACAGGCCUCGAUAAGUACCGAUUAUCAGGUUAUCUCCUGCAUGUUGAUAUCGUAAAAUAUCAGCUGCAAGAUAUCAUAUGAAGCUUUUUGACGAGUGAGCAUAGCGAACGAGAUCAAAAAGCAUUCAUAUGAUGUCAAGCAGCUGAUAUUUUCCAAUAUCAAUAUGCAGAUAAUCUGAUAAUCAAUUUAUCAGGCUAUAUUUGCUUGUUUCAGAAGUGUCUUCUUUGUUUCACCAGCACACACAAGAUGACUUGAUAAGUUCGGGUCAAAGUUAUUAACGUCGGUUCAAACAUUAUGACGUCGCUGAUAUGUCCGGGUCAAAGUUAAUAAGGCCGGGUCAAUGUAUUUGACGUCACAAAGACAUGAUACGGAAUAAUAUUAAGAGCUGAACAGAUUGAUAUAGACAGUGGAACGACCGAUAAGACAUAUGUAAAACAAUUCAAACGAGAAAACUUAAGAUAUGUGCAUUGUUCAUCAUGUUCAUAUUGUAUAUGAAGAUUAAUAAGAUUAAAGUAAACAAUGUGGUAUGUUUCCAAAAUAAAAGCUAUACACCAAUGACCAACUGAUGUCGAUGCAAUUACUAGCCAUACAAAUGAUACAUACAUGUUGGUCACCAUACUUCCUUCAUUUAUAUUAUGACUAUUGAGUAAAUUUUUGCAAACAUGGCAAACCUGUACAUGUACAUGCUGUUUAUAUACACCACAUCUUCCUAUAUCUAUAUAUUACUACAGUUCAAUGACUCAAGUUUUAAAUGCAUAAGCUUAUUGGUCAUAACAGAAUUUAAACUAACUAUCAUAAUUGUAUGAACAUCAUGAUGAAUAUUUACAUUCUCUCAAAGAGUUUUAAUUUUACUUAGCUAAUACAGAAGAUGAUGGAUUCCCCAACAGAAAUCUUGAUGAUCGAACAAUUAAGGUGAAAAAAUUGAAGAAUUGCAUCAAUUGUUACAGAGAAUCGAUUUGCAAGCAGAAACAGGGGUCAAAGAUAAGGGAAUACAACAGCCAUCCAUGAUCCUUUACAUGUAAAGUAAGUAGCUGUUCAUGAUGCUUAUCUAGUCUGGGCAUGUAAAACAGCAGCUGGUUCUAUUUUGAAAAUCUACAAAAUAGAGCUAAGGUCCUUUAAGCCAAGAAACUGCUAGUGUCUGAAGAGGACAAUUUAAGACAGGACAUGAAAAUUGAUUUAAUGUCAAGUUGGAACAGUGAUUCUGUAAAUAAACUCGCCUGAUCACAAGACCUCGGAUUUGACUGAAUCUUACAUGGAUAGACCAAAGUCAUUUCCUAGACUGUAAAUACUAGAGGCAGCUGAAAGCACAAGGCACAAAGCUGAGGUCCAAGUAAAUCAGAGAGGCCUUGUCACAAGAAAUGUACAGAACUUGCAUGGUUUUUUUCCUUAAGGGUAUAUGACAAAAUAUUGAGAUAUAUGUCAAUGAAAAUUACUUUGAAUUUAAAAAAGGGCCAAUUCAAUGGUACACUUUUGGAAUUUGCAAGAACAAAAAUACCUUCAUGUUUACUUUUGAAUUGAAGGGGAACCUCUGAAAAUAAGUCCAAUGGAGGGGUUUGGUUUAUUGAAUUCAAUUAUUUUUUAAAGAAAAACAGAUGAAAUAUUGCUCUUUAAUUUCAACAUUUGCAUUUUGCUAUUAAAAUUAUUUACAAGUGCAGCACAUCCAUGACAUCAGAUUAUGUUAUUGUGUUUGGUUAAGCUACAUAUUUCUUUUUACUUAAACUUUCUGUUGACUUUAAAUGCUGAAUAAUAAUUUGAGUGUGGCUCAUUCGAGUGUCUAGUAUUUCCUGUCAAUUUUUUAGAUGAUUUUACCAUAUUAUUUAUAAUCGCUUGCUCAAAGGGAGAUAACUUAUUGUAUUUUCACAAUAAAAUGCUGAAUAAUAAUUUGAGUGUGGCUCAUUCCAGUGUCUAGUAUUUGCUGUCAAUUUUUUUGAUAAUUUUACCAUAUUAUUUAUAAUCGCUUUGUCAAAGGGAGAUAACUUUUUGUAUUUUCACAAUAAAAUGCUGAAUACUAAUUUGAGUGUGGCUCAUUCCAGUGUCUAGUAUUUGCUGUCAAUUUUUUUGAUGAUUUUACCAUAUUAUUUAUAAUCGCUUGCUCAAAGGGAGAUAACUUAUUGUAUUUUCACAAUAAAAUGCUGAAUAAUAAUUUGAGUGUGGCUCAUUCCAGUGUCUAGUAUUUGCUGUCAAUUUUUUUGAUGAUUUUACCAUAUUAUUUAUAAUCGCUUGCUCAAAGGGAGAUAACUUAUUGUAUUUUCACAAUAAAAUGCUGAAUAAUAAUUUGAGUGUGGCUCAUUCCAGUGUCUAGUAUUUGCUGUCAAUUUUUUUGAUAAUUUUACCAUAUUAUUUAUAAUCGCUUUGUCAAAGGGAGAUAACUUUUUGUAUUUUCACAAUAAAAUGCUGAAUACUAAUUUGAGUGUGGCUCAUUCCAGUGUCUAGUAUUUGCUGUCAAUUUUUUUGAUGAUUUUACCAUAUUAUUUAUAAUCGCUUGCUCAAAGGGAGAUAACUUAUUGUAUUUUCACAAUAAAAUGCUGAAUAAUAAUUUGAGUGUGGCUCAUUCCAGUGUCUAGUAUUUGCUGUCAAUUUUUUUGAUGAUUUUACCAUAUUAUUUAUAAUCACUUUGUCAAAGGGAGAUAACUUUUUGUAUUUUCACAUUAAAUCAUCUGCGAAGAGGAUUAUGUAAAAUGUGAAUUGUUGAAAACUAAUUUUAUGGUUCAAUAAAAUCAAAAUAAGUUACUGCUAUUCAUUAUAAAUAAAUUUCUAUCAAAAAUAAGGCUCAAAGAACUUUUUAUAUUACUAAUUAACAAUAACAAUGUACACACAUGUUGACGUGUUAAUACACACCGUCAGAGUGGGUGUGUCACCAUAAAAUGUAAACAUUGAAAAUAAAACUGAUACUUUUAACUAAUCAGGAGACAGUUAAUACACCAAAUAUAUUUUUAAACCUAUAAACUUAUUAUUUUCUUCAAAUUUUAAGGUGCCUAUGUUUGCUAUUUGUUAUAACCCUAUUGUUAUGAUUCUUAAACCAUCUAUACAAGUAAGCAUGUUGAUUUGUCACUUACCAUUAUUUUAUUGAUUAGUUUGAAUUUGAUGAGGUUCUUCGAUGUAGAACUGGACUUAUUUAAACAAAAAAUGUUUUGUUUAUUUGUUUGAUAGUAAAAUUGUAUGACAAACAUUUGACAUUUUAUUUAAUUUAUCAUCAAAACAACUAUUUUGUCAG